rnacentral:rRNA from 1 species
GAUGAACGCUGGCGGCGUGCCUAAUACAUGCAAGUCGAGCAAACGGACGAGAAGCUUGCUUCUCUGAUGUUAGCGGCGGACGGGUGAGUAACACGUGGAUAACCUACCUAUAAGACUGGGAUAACUUCGGGAAACCGUAGCUAAUACCGGAUAAUAUUUUGAGCCGCAUGGUUCAAAAGUGAAAGACGGUCUUGCUGUCACUUAUAGAUGGAUCCGCGCUGCAUUAGCUAGUUGGCAAGGUAACGGCUUACCAAGGCAACGAUGCAUAGCCGACCUGAGAGGGUGAUCGGCCACACUGGAACUGAGACACGGUCCAGACUCCUACGGGAGGCAGCAGUAGGGAAUCUUCCGCAAUGGGCGAAAGCCUGACGGAGCAACGCCGCGUGAGUGAUGAAGGUCUUCGGAUCGUAAAACUCUGUUAUUAGGGAAGAACAUAUGUGUAAGUAACUGUGCACAUCUUGACGGUACCUAAUCAGAAAGCCACGGCUAACUACGUG